AGAUUGAACGCUGGCGGCAGGCCUAACACAUGCAAGUCGAGCGGUAGAGAGGUGCUUGCAUCUCUUGAGAGCGGCGGACGGGUGAGUAAUGCCUAGGAAUCUGCCUAGUGGUGGGGGAUAACGUUCGGAAACGGACGCUAAUACCGCAUACGUCCUACGGGAGAAAGCGGGGGACCUUCGGGCCUCGCGCCAUUAGAUGAGCCUAGGUCGAUUAGCUAGUUGGUGAGGUAAUGGCUCA
rnacentral:rRNA from 1 species